GCCUAAGGGAACAAAGUUUCAGGUGGGCA
rnacentral:piRNA from 2 species